rnacentral:rRNA from 1 species
CCUACGGGCGACAGCAGUGAGGAAUAUUGGUCAAUGGGCGAGAGCCUGAACCAGCCAAGUCGCGUGAGGGAGUACUGCCCUAUGGGUUGUAAACCUCUUUUGUCGGGGAGCAAAAGCCGGACGUGUCCGGCUGUGAGAGUACCCGAAGAAAAAGCAUCGGCUAACCCCGCGCCAGCGGCCGCGGUAUUACGGAGGAUGGGAGCGUUAUCCGGAUUUUUGGGGUUUAAGGGGUGCGCAGGGGGAUUUUUAAGUCAGCGGUAAAAUCGUGGGGCUCAACCCCAUCCAGCCGUUGAAACUGGGGAUCUAGAGUGUGCGAGAGGUAUGCGGAAUGCGUGGUGUAGCGGUGAAAUGCAUAGAUAUCACGCAGAACCCCGAUUGCGAAGGCAGCAUACCGGUGCACAACUGACGCUCAGGCACGAAAGCGUGGGUAUCGAACAGGAUUAGAUACCCUUGUAGUC